GUUUAAACGAAUAGUUCUUCCAUCCGAUGCAAUUGUCAUAUUACGUAUCUAUUCCAAAAUGUCGCGAUGAAUACCCGCUACAUUCUAAAAAAACGUUAACAAAGAUAUCACUGAUCACCGUACACCGAUAAUGGCUACGAUAGAUCCUUGACCAGACGAAGAAAACACAUGAACACAUAAGCACUAUGAAAGGAACAAUGGCGAUAGUCAAUAUAAAGUAACGAAUGAAGAGGGCUCUGAUGAUGCAAUAAAGAAAAUACUUGAUUUGCUGAACAUGAAAGGAAAAACAGAAAGCAAUCUAUAAUCGACCUAAAAUUGUCUCAAAGAUGUCGACAUCGUCGCAUACUUCUCAGCUACUUUAGCAAUUUCUUGAGCUUGAAUACCAACAAUAUUGCCUACUGCCGUUACGCUUAAACGAGCCUAUAUAAAUAAAAUAUUACAUAAAGACAUAAUUAAUAUUAUUUAAUUAAUAUCAAUUAUAAUAAUAUAAUUGCUUACUGAAUUUUCUUCAAUAACAGCUAAAUUUCCAGCUAAUUGUUCUGUAUUUUCCUAUAAAGAAAAACAUUGAAAAAAUCAUAAAUUUUAUCUAUUUACAUAAUUUAUUUACUUUUUCCUUUAAUUUUUCUUUAUUUUCAUCUUCUUUAAAAUCACUUGAAAUAGUUUCAGUUGGCGAAGUAGUAAUUUUUAUAGAA